rnacentral:rRNA from 1 species
UACAGAGGUCUCAAGCGUUGUUCGGAUUCAUUGGCGUAAAGGGUGCGUAGGCGGCGCGGUAAGUCGGGUGUGAAAUCUCGGAGCUUAACUCCGAAACUGCAUUCGAUACUGCCGGGCUUGAGUAUGGGAGAGGUGAGUGGAAUUUCCGGUGUAGCGGUGAAAUGCGUAGAUAUCGGAAGGAACACCUGUGGCGAAAGCGGCUCACUGGACCAUUACUGACGCUGAGGCACGAAAGCUAGGGGAGCAAACAGG